GGCAAAUAAUUUCUGAGAGUCAUGGAUCUCAUGUGCAAGAAAAUGAAACACCUGUCGUUCUUCCUCCUGCUGGUGGCAGCUCCCAGAUGGGUCCUGUCCCAGGUGCAGCUGCAGGAGUCGGGCCCAGGACUGGUGAAGCCUUCGGAGACCCUGUCCCUCACCUGCGCUGUCUCUGGUGGCUCCAUCAGUGGUUACUCCUGGGUCUGGAUCCGGCAGCCACCAGGGAAGGGACUGGAGUGGAUUGGGAGUAUCCAUUCCAGUGGGAGCACCUACUACAACCCGUCCCUCAAGAGUCGAGUCACCAUAUCAGUAGACACGUCCAAGAACCAGUUCUCCCUGAAGCUGAGCUCUGUGACCGCCGCGGACACGGCCGUGUAUUACUGUGCGAGAGACACAGUGAGGGGAGCUGAGUGUGAGCCCAGACACAAACCUCCCUGCAGGGAGGCGGAGCGGGCGGGCGCAGGUGCUGCUCAGGACCAGCAGGGGGCGCGCGGGGCGCACAGAAUAUACAAGGCCGGGUCAGGAGCAGGCGCAGGGAGGGUGGGGCUUCCUCAUCAGCUGGGUGGUCUCCCUCCUCGCCAGCACCUCAGCUUUCCGUAG